ensembl:lincRNA
AUGCUUUUUCUACAUCUUUUGAUGUUAUCAUGUGGUUUUCCUAUUUAAUAUGAUAAUAUGGUAGAUUACAUUGAUUUUUGAUGUAUUCUUUUUAUGAAAUCUGUUCUUUUUAUACAGAUCUUUCUAUAACAAGAUAAAAAAGAAUGGGAUGGAAUACUGUUGUAGAAAAAGGUUCUGAAGCCUUAUUCAAGCUCAGCAGGCAGCAAUGGAGAAUUGAGGAGAGAUACCUAACCUAGGGGCAGGAGGGCAAGUGACUGCCAUACACCUGCAGCCGCCAUCUCAUCCCUCAGUGGUGAUGCAUUCAGUAAAGUGCUGGAAAUACGGUGAUGAACUAGAUAAAGUUCCUGAGCUCCUAGUGAUGAGAUCUACCUUCUGGAAACUUAGGAUCUGCAAUGGCCUCUUCCAGAUGAGCCUCGUCUUCAUUCAAGAUGCACCUCCAGGCUCCUGGACAUCAAUGAAUAAUCUAACAAUAUUGGGAAGAAACAAGCAUGAGGAAUGUGGCCCAAAAGUUGAGAGUAAGACUCAGAGUCAACCCGCCCAUCUCCAAGUAUAAAUGUGCAUCAGAUUAUGAGAACACAAGAGAGUCCCGGCUCAGUGGGUCCCUGGUUGGAUUACACCCAGGAGAUCCCUUAUAUGGGAUUAGAAGACAGAAGUUGUUGCCCUGUGGCUGCAGCUGAGCCGUAGCACAGACUGCGGGCUGCAGAUGGAAAGUUCUGCCUGUGGCUUCCAGGAGGUUUCCAAAGAAUGAUCCCUUGGCUGAGACCAAUGGAGUCAGCUUCCCUACAAUUCUUGUAUUUCCAGACAUCUUGAUAUUUACUUUCCCAGACUCUAUUUCUGCUUCAAACCUGAUAGGUAUUUCCCAACUAAGGAUGUUAAAUUCCCUUGGCCUAAGAGUGUCACCAUGACCAAAAUUCACCUGUCAGGUUGGACACCUUCAGUUAUUCCAGCCUGAACUGAGCUGAAUUUUGCUACCCACCUCCCUGACCCUUUUAGACAUUGUGAUUCUCCUGGUCCCCAGCAAGGACAGAAUUAGAAGCAUAUCAUUCCAUAGCUUCUCCCAAUUCCCUUUUUCUACUGCUGCUGUUCCAAUGCACAUCAUCCUCAAAGCCAAGUUGAUGAAGACAGGCAGCCAAGUUUAAGUUCAAUGCUCACAUGAAGGAACUUUGUAAACUUUACACAUUGCAAAGUGCUAGUAAAAAUUAAUUCUUUUCUUUGAUUGCAUGAACCACGUCUAAUUUUGUCCCUAGAGAGAGCUGGCUCAUAACAUGAAAUUUAAAAGGAAAUAUUUAUUUAGUAAUUUAUGUUAGAAAAAUAUCCAACACAAGCUCAAUGCAUUAAUAGGUGUGGACCUCCAGUGAUUCUAUUUAAGCAAUACUAAUGUUGCAGAUUUCGGUUUACCCUGCCACAUUUGAUAUAAGCAGCCAUUUCUGGCAAACACUACUGAUAUUCAGUUAAUAUAAACAGUAGCCAGGUUUUCUCUUCAACAGGAAGAGUUUUAGAUUGAGUUAAUUGACUGAGGGAACUGGGUACAAUGCAAUGUGAAAAAUAAUAAGAAGACGAGGAGGAAGCAGAGUUGAAAAAAAGAGCAACUUCACAAAUAGGAAAUCAUAUCUACUGUCCCAGGCCAUUGCAGAGCCAUAAUGUCCAGAGGGAAAGAGACAGAUGGGACACAGAAAGAUGGAAGGGUGUACAUCUUCCAUCUUGGGGUGAGGGGGUGCUGCAUUCAUUGAGCUCUAGCCAGAAGUGGCCAAACAGCAAUGUGGGCCUAGUGAAGCCAGACCUUCUAAUUUUCUCAGACAAUUUAGUUGAAAAUCCAUUUUUAAGUGCUUUGUUAAAAACAUUUACACCUACAUGUGAGUAUAUAUGCAUAUAUAUACACACAUAUACAUUUAUAUAUAUUUAAUUAUCACAUAUAUAAAUUAUAUAUCACAUUUAUAUAAACAUAUAUCACACAUAUAAACACGUGUAUAUAUAUACACAUAUAUAUAUAAAUUUAUAUCACUCAUUUAAAAUGUUAGCAACUAAACUUUAUUUUAUUAAUAAAUUUGAUAAAUAAACUUUAUUAAAACAAAUAAAAUAGGGCCUGCAACACAAAAUACAUCUGUAAUCUCUAACUUCAUGAAUUUCUUAAGGUAUGAGACACAUUUAUUUAAAGAAGAUAGAAUAAAAGGACCAUUAGGAGACAGGAAACUGUGGAUGAAAAGAAUCAUCCUUUCUUAAACAAACAUUUCCUAAGCAUUGUAUUAGACUCAAGGCAUGCAUUAUUUCCUUUAAAGGAUGAAUAUUAGUGAGAGUUGGGGUGGAAAGCAAAUAAAAGAAGGAGGAAAGAAAAAAAAGUGAAAUGUCCUGACAGAGUUCUAGAAUGUUACAUUCAUCACUCCAAGGGUCAGCCUACAAGAGAAGCAGAGGCCUGACUGAGGAAGCAAGAUUUCUAGGGCAGGAAAAGCAGCAGUCUUCUAAUGAAAACUUGGCUAGUGUGUUUAUUAAUUUAUUUCCUUCACAUGUUUACUUUUAUUUUUAGAAUAACUGAUAUACUUGGAAGC